CGACUUACGUUGAAAAGUGAGCGGAUGAACUGAGGGUAGCGGAGAAAUUCCAAUCGAACCUGGAGAUAGCUGGUUCUCUCCGAAAUAGCUUUAGGGCUAGCCUCAAGUGAUGAUUAUUGGAGGUAGAGCACUGUUUGGACGAGGGGCCCCUCUCGGGUUACCGAAUUCAGACAAACUCCGAAUGCCAAUUAAUUUAACUUGGGAGUCAGAACAUGGGUGAUAAGGUCCGUGUUCGAAAGGGAAACAGCCCAGACCACCAGCUAAGGUCCCAAAAUAUAUGUUAAGUGGAAAAGGAUGUGGCGUUGCCCAGACAACUAGGAUGUUGGCUUAGAAGCAGCCAUCAUUUAAAGAGUGCGUAAUAGCUCACUAGUCGAGUGACACUGCGCCGAAAAUGUACCGGGGCUAAACAUAUUACCGAAGCUGUGGAUUGUCCUUUGGACAAUGGUAGGAGAGCGUUCUAAGGGCGUUGAAGCAUGAUCGUAAGGACAUGUGGAGCGCUUAGAAGUGAGAAUGCCGGUGUGAGUAGCGAAAGACGGGUGAGAAUCCCGUCCACCGAUUGACUAAGGUUUCCAGAGGAAGGCUCGUCCGCUCUGGGUUAGUCGGGUCCUAAGCUGAGGCCGACAGGCGUAGGCGAUGGAUAACAGGUUGAUAUUCCUGUACCACCUAUAAUCGUUUUAAUCGAUGGGGGGACGCAGUAGGAUAGGCGAAGCGUGCGAUUGGAUUGCACGUCUAAGCAGUAAGGCUGAGUAUUAGGCAAAUCCGGUACUCAUUAAGGCUGAGCUGUGAUGGGGAGAAGACAUUGUGUCUUCGAGUCGUUGAUUUCACACUGCCGAGAAAAGCCUCUAGAUAGAAAAUAGGUGCCCGUACCGCAAACCGACACAGGUAGUCAAGAUGAGAAUUCUAAGGUGAGCGAGCGAACUCUCGUUAAGGAACUCGGCAAAAUGACCCCGUAACUUCGGGAGAAGGGGUGCUCUUUAGGGUUAACGCCCAGAAGAGCCGCAGUGAAUAGGCCCAAGCGACUGUUUAUCAAAAACACAGGUCUCUGCUAAACCGUAAGGUGAUGUAUAGGGGCUGACGCCUGCCCGGUGCUGGAAGGUUAAGAGGAGUGGUUAGCUUCUGCGAAGCUACGAAUCGAAGCCCCAGUAAACGGCGGCCGUAACUAUAACGGUCCUAAGGUAGCGAAAUUCCUUGUCGGGUAAGUUCCGACCCGCACGAAAGGCGUAACGAUUUGGGCACUGUCUCAACGAGAGACUCGGUGAAAUCAUAGUACCUGUGAAGAUGCAGGUUACCCGCGACAGGACGGAAAGACCCCGUGGAGCUUUACUGUAGCCUGAUAUUGAAAUUCGGCACAGCUUGUACAGGAUAGGUAGGAGCCUUUGAAACGUGAGCGCUAGCUUACGUGGAGGCGCUGGUGGGAUACUACCCUAGCUGUGUUGGCUUUCUAACCCGCACCACUUAUCGUGGUGGGAGACAGUGUCAGGCGGGCAGUUUGACUGGGGCGGUCGCCUCCUAAAAGGUAACGGAGGCGCUCAAAGGUUCCCUCAGAAUGGUUGGAAAUCAUUCAUAGAGUGUAAAGGCAUAAGGGAGCUUGACUGCGAGACCUACAAGUCGAGCAGGGUCGAAAGACGGACUUAGUGAUCCGGUGGUUCCGCAUGGAAGGGCCAUCGCUCAACGGAUAAAAGCUACCCCGGGGAUAACAGGCUUAUCUCCCCCAAGAGUUCACAUCGACGGGGAGGUUUGGCACCUCGAUGUCGGCUCAUCGCAUCCUGGGGCUGUAGUCGGUCCCAAGGGUUGGGCUGUUCGCCCAUUAAAGCGGUACGCGAGCUGGGUUCAGAACGUCGUGAGACAGUUCGGUCCCUAUCCGUCGUGGGCGUAGGAAAUUUGAGAGGAGCUGUCCUUAGUACGAGAGGACCGGGAUGGACAUACCUCUGGUGUACCAGUUGUCGUGCCAACGGCAUAGCUGGGUAGCUAUGUGUGGACGGGAUAAGUGCUGAAAGCAUCUAAGCAUGAAGCCCCCCUCAAGAUGAGAUUUCCCAACUUCGGUUAUAAGAUCCCUCAAAGAUGAUGAGGUUAAUAGGUUCGAGGUGGAAGCAUGGUGACAUGUGGAGCUGACGAAUACUAA
rnacentral:rRNA from 1 species